rnacentral:tRNA from 1 species
GAAGUUUAGGUUAACAUACUAUUAAACUCAUAGCCUUCAAAGCUCUAGAUAGGGGCGCGCCCCUAACUUCUG